rnacentral:rRNA from 1 species
CGGACGGGUGAGUAAUGUCUGGGAAACUGCCUGAUGGAGGGGGAUAACUACUGGAAACGAUAGCUAAUACCGCAUAACGUCGCAAGACCAAAGAGGGGGACCUUAGGGCCUCUUGCCAUCGGAUGUGCCCAGAUGGGAUUAGCUAGUAGGUGGGGUAACGGCUCACCUAGGCGACGAUCCCUAGCUGGUCUGAGAGGAUGACCAGCCACACUGGAACUGAGACACGGUCCAG